rnacentral:rRNA from 1 species
UACGGAGGGAGCUAGCGUUGUUCGGAAUUACUGGGCGUAAAGCGUGCGCAGGCGGUUUUGUAAGUCUGUCGUGAAAGCCCCGGGCUCAACCUGGGAAUUGCGAUGGAGACUGCAAGGCUUGAAUCUGGCAGAGGGGGGUAGAAUUCCACGUGUAGCAGGUGAAAUGCGUAGAGAUGUGGAGGAACACCGAUGGCGAAGGCAGCCCCCUGGGUCAAGAUUGACGCUCAUGCACGAAAGCGUGGGGAGCAAACAGG